CUAUAUCUUGAUCAUAUUCCUAUAUGUUGAUAUAUUGUGCAUUAUAGGAUUAGUAGAUGAUUACAUUUCCAUUCCUUGCAUGUUACCUAGGUUGUGUAGCAUUGUGGGCUUGACACUUGAUCUUAGGUUGCAUGAGGAUUGGGUCUUGUGACAAGAAUCCUAUAGUGACAAGAAUGAUGAUGAACUUGGACAUGUAAUUGGCCUAGACGAGUGGCAUUUGGACUAGUGUAACAAAGACACUAUAAUAUUGACGAGUGGCAUGUCGAUUUAGUGUAUUAAGACACAUAUAACAUCAUGACAUAAACGAGUGGCAUCAAAUCUAGUGUAGUGAAACACUAUGGCAUUUGAACCUAGGGAUAGUAGAUUUUCCCGAUUGUCAUGUUGUAGACAUUAUGCAUUUGGCAUUAGUGCAUUUGAGGCAUUGAUUAUGCAUUUGGUAUUGUGCAGCAGAGGCACAUUGACCCUGGUAGAUAGGGUAUCCUCUUGUGAGGAUUGGAUCAUACUCACUAGUCUGUUUUUGCUUGUCGGUGGUCGCUCCACCGAAGCACGAGUCUCCGGAGUACUUCACUAGGGGCAGACGUAGUUGUCCCGCAGACGGUCUCGGUGUGCGAGUGCAGAUUCUCCUCACCUAUGAGAUUGAGAGUGAGUCGGGGUUGACCCCGGGGUGGCAACCUUCAGGUUAGCCAUGAGAUUGGAUACUAUCGAGGCAUAGUUGCACGACGCACUAUGUAGUAGCUCGUUCAUUCGGAUUAUUGAGGCAUAGUAGCAUGUGCAGAUACAUCACUAUGUAGUAGCUCAUUUCCAAGCAGAUUGGGUAAAGAAUAUGAAUGGCAUAGCAGAUUUGCAUUCAUACCUUGAGUUGACAUUGAGACAUAGUAGCAUGUUGUAGAUACAUCACUAUGUAGUAGCUCAUUUCUAUUAUUGUUGAAGCAUAGUAUCAUGAUUAGUAGAAUAUCAUUGCUAUGUUCAUGCAUUCCAUGAUUACAGAGGCAUAGUAGCAUGUGUAUAUUCCAUUACUAUGUAGCAGCUCGUACUUAGUAGAGCGAGAUUGAGUCGGGCAAGGAGCGGGGUAGCUCUUUGUUUAGGACCUUUGAGAUUUGAGAUCUUAGGCAAGUUGGCCUAAUCGAUUGGGUUGUAACAUGAAUAGCAUAAGUGGAUUGCAUUCAUGCCAUGAUUAGACAUAGUAGACUGCAUAACUAUGUUGUAGUUGUAUUUAUUACACUGUUGAAGCAUACUAGCAUGAUAGUAGGUUAUUGCUAGAUGAUGUUCCAUGCAUUC
rnacentral:lncRNA from 1 species